rnacentral:rRNA from 1 species
UGGGGAAUAUUGGACAAUGGGCGAAAGCCUGAUCCAGCAAUGCCGCGUGAGUGAUGAAGGCCUUAGGGUUGUAAAGCUCUUUUACCCGGGAUGAUAAUGACAGUACCGGGAGAAUAAGCCCCGGCUAACUCCGUGCCAGCAGCCGCGGUAAUACGGAGGGGGCUAGCGUUGUUCGGAAUUACUGGGCGUAAAGCGCACGUAGGCGGCUUUGCAAGUUAGAGGUGAAAGCCCGGGGCUCAACUCCGGAAUUGCCUUUAAAACUGCAUCGCUAGAGUUGUGGAGAGGUAAGUGGAAUUCCGAGUGUAGAGGUGAAAUUCGUAGAUAUUCGGAAGAACACCAGUGGCGAAGGCGACUUACUGGACACAUACUGACGCUGAGGUGCGAAAGCGUGGGGAGCAAACA